AGCUAGUCAUUCAUGCAUGCAUGAUCAGAGCUAGUCAUUCAUGCAUGCAUGAUCAGUUUCAGUUGGGAAAUGGAAGUUUGUGAGGUGGCUUGACAGGGCCAGUUGGGGGCUUUAGUUUCCUCGGUGGCUUUGAUGGGUCUCUUCCACCCUCCACCACAUUCUGUUCAAGAUGGCGAUCGUGAUGAGGUGGCUUGUCUCCCUUGCCCUUAGGAGGCUGAUCAACUGGCUUGGGCUCUGGCUUGGGCUCUGGGAAUGGCUUGUGCUCAUCAAGUGGGGUUGGUGGCUUGGGUUUUGUGGGUGGCUUCGGCUUCUUUCCCUGAGGAGGCAAUUUCCCAUCCAAUGGCUCCUCUAGCAAACGAGUUCUGGUUUCUUGUUUGUGAUGAGGCGGUUUCUCACCCUUUGGAGGCUGAUCAACUGGCUUUGGUUCUGGCUUGGGCUCUGGCUUGGGCUCUGGGAAUGGCUUGUGCUCAUCAAGUGGGGUUGGUGGCUUGGGUUUUGUGGGUGGCUCCGGCUUCUUUCCCUGAGGAGGCAAUUUCCCAUCCAAUGGCUCCUCUAGCAAACGAGUUCUGGUUUCUUGUAUGUGAUGAGGCGGCUUCUCACCCUUUGGAGGCUGAUCAACUGGCUUUGGUUCUGGCUUGGGCUCGGGCUUGGGCUCUGGCUUGGGCUCUGGGAAUGGCUUGUGCUCAUCAAGUGGGGUUGGUGGCUUGGGUUUUGUGGGUGGCUUCGGCUUCUUUCCCUGAGGAGGCAAUUUCCCAUCCAAUGGCUCCUCUAGCAAACGAGUUCUGGUUUCUUGUUUGUGAUGAGGCGGCUUCUCACCCUUUGGAGGCUCGUCGUUGCCCGGGUUUCCUUUGUGCUCUGGUGGUGGCUUCUCUCCUUUUCUUGGUGGCUCAUCUCUUGGGUGUCCUGGUUCAUGCUCAGGUGGUGGUUUCUCUCCUUUUCUCGGUGGCUCAUCUCCCGGGUGCUCAGGUGGUGGCUUCUCAUCCUUGUGAGGCUCAUCACCUGGUUUCUCCUUUGGUGGUGGCUUUUGUCCCUUAGGAGGCUCAUUGUUCUCUGGUGGAGGCUUUUUUCCCUUUGGAGGCUCAUUGUUCUCUGGUGGAGGCUUCUUUCCCUUUGGAGGCUGGUCAUUGCGCUCUGGUGGUGGCUUUUGUACCUGGGGAGGCUGGUCAUUGCGCUCUGGAGGUGGCUUUUCUCCCUUGGGAAAUUGGCCCUCCACCUCUAACAAAUGGUGUUCGUUGUGGGGUGGCUUGUCAACUGGUGGAGGCUUGUAAAUUGGGGGUACGGAAAUUGGAGGCUUGUAGAUUUGUGGCUUUGGGUCAUGGUUAUCAGCAAGAGAAGGAGUU
rnacentral:lncRNA from 1 species